rnacentral:lncRNA from 1 species
CUGCUGUCUUGAUGACGCACAGUGCUGGCGCAAGUCGUCUUGCGCCAGGCGACUGGGUCUGAGGAGGCAGGAGUUAUUCAUUCCCUUAAGCUUUCAGGCCGGGGGGAGAAUCUUUCAGGUGGUAGCUGCAAGAACUCUUAGUAUGUUGACCUCACCUCUGCCUUCCACAUACCACUACCAGUGAGGAAUUAGGAAUGCAUGAGAAGAGUGUCCAAGAAGAGUGUCCUCAUUCAUGCAAGGCUUAAGAGAGAAUGCAGGUCAACAUCACCAUGUCAAUCAGAGGUGCAGAUGCUGAGAGCACUUUCUAGUCAAGUCCUGCAUGUUCAUUUCUGUCUCAAGUCAGCUUCUCUGAGAAUCCAAUUUAUAAAAAUAUAUUUGUGAAUGUAUAAGUAAAGUGACUUGGAUUUUGUCUACGUACAAGGACUUCUAUGCCUGCAUAAAACAGUUUGGAACCAGCAGCAGCAGCAGCUCCCCAGACCUACUGAAUCAGAAUCUACAUUUUGAUAAGAGCCCAGGGUGACUCCAUGUACGUGAAAAAGUUUGAGAAGUCCUUAGACCUACAGUUCACAGCUUCUCCUUCUUUCUUAUUCAACUGAAUUGCAGUGGGACCUGAGUAUGGUUAAAAUAAAUGAAUAAAAACACAAA